ensembl:snoRNA
AAGACUAUACUUUCAGGGGUCAUUUCUAUAGUUCAUUACCAGAGAAGUUUCUCUGAACAUGUAGAGCACCGGAAACCACGAGGAGGAGGUACAGCGUUCUCCCCUGAAUGUGAAGCCGGCUCUUGGUGUUGCUUCGCUGCUACUGCCACUUGCCACUGACGAUCGCUCUUCUCUCCUUUUUGGGAGAGUAAGAGGGAGAGGACGCAGUCUGAGUGGUU